AUUGAACGCUGGCGGCAUGCUUUACACAUGCAAGUCGAACGGUAACAGGCCUUCGGGUGCUGACAAGUGGCGAACGGGUGAGUAAUGCAUCGGAACGUGCCCAGAGGUGGGGGAUAACGCAGCGAAAGCUGUGCUAAUACCGCAUGUGAUCUGAGGAUGAAAGCGGGGGACCAGGCAGCAAUGUUUGGCCUCGCGCCUUUGGAGCGGCCGAUGUCAGAUUAGGUAGUUGGUGGGGUAAAGGCCUACCAAGCCGACGAUCUGUAGCUGGUCUGAGAGGACGACCAGCCACACUGGGACUGAGACACGGCCCAGACUCCUACGGGAGGCAGCAGUGGGGAAUUUUGGACAAUGGGCGCAAGCCUGAUCCAGCAAUGCCGCGUGCGGGAAGAAGGCCUUCGGGUUGUAAACCGCUUUUGUACGGAACGAAAAGGCUCUGGCUAAUACCUGGGGCUGAUGACGGUACCGGAAGAAUAAGCACCGGCUAACUACGUG
rnacentral:rRNA from 1 species